AACGAACGCUGGCGGCAUGCCUAACACAUGCAAGUCGAACGAGACCUUCGGGUCUAGUGGCGCACGGGUGCGUAACGCGUGGGAACCUGCCCUUAGGUUCGGAAUAACUCCCCGAAAGGGGUGCUAAUACCGGAUAAUGUCUUCGGACCAAAGAUUUAUCGCCUUUGGAUGGGCCCGCGUUGGAUUAGCUAGUUGGUAGGGUAAAAGCCUACCAAGGCGACGAUCCAUAGCUGGUCUGAGAGGAUGAUCAGCCACACUGGAACUGAGACACGGCCCAGACAAAUAGGGUAGGCAGCAGUGCGGAAUAUUGGACAAUGGGGGAAAGCCUGAUACAGAAAGGGAGCGUGUGUGAAGUAAGUCUUCUGAGUGUAAAACACUUUAAGUUGAAGGGGAGUACAGCACGUAAAUACCGUGCUGUUAGGACGAUACGAACAGAAUGAGCACCGGCUAACUCCGU
rnacentral:rRNA from 1 species